AACUAUGAUUCCCUUAGUAACGGCGAGUGAACAGGGAAAAGCCCAAAUUUGUAAUCUGGCACUUUUUACAAGUGUCCGAGUUGUAAUUUGUAGAGCUGUUAUCCGUACUGGACCAUGUACAAGUCUGUUGAAAAGCAGCAUCAUUGAAGGUGAAAAUCCUGUAGAUGAUAUGGACUACCAGUAUAUUUGUGAUACGGUUUCUAAGAGUCGAGUUGUUUGGGAAUGCAGCUCAAAGUGGGUGGUAAAUUCCAUCUAAGGCUAAAUAUAAGUGAGAGACCGAUAGCAAACAAGUACCGUGAGGGAAAGAUGAAAAGAACUUUGAAAAUAGAGUUAACAGUACGUGAAAUUGCUGAAAGGGAAACGUUUGAAGUUAGUUUUGUAUUCGUUGGAUCAGCUUCGCAAGGAGUGUAUUCUGAUGAUAAGCAAGUCAACAUCAGUCUAUGAGUGUUGGAUAAGGGUUUUGAGAAUGUAGCAAUUUAAUUGUGUUAUAGCUUGAGACUUGGAUACGAUGCUUUGGAUUGAGGAACGCGUAGUAAGCUUUGAGCGGAUUCGAAAGGAUCUCCUUACUAUGGAUGUUGGUGAAAUAACUUUAAGCGACCCGUCUUGAAACACGGACCAAGGAGUCUAACAUGCUUGCGAGUAUUAGGGUGUUGAAACCCGAAUGCGUAAUGAAAGUGAAUCUAAGAUGUGAUCCGCAAGGUGCAACAUCGGCCAGUCUGGAUCAUUUAUGUGAAGGUACUGAGCAAGAGCAAGUAUGUUAGGACCCGAAAGAUGGUGAACUAUGCCUGGAUAGGGUGAAGUCAGAGGAAACUCUGAUGGAAGCUCGUAGCGGUUCUGACGUGCAAAUCGAUCGUAGAAUCUGGGUAUAGGGGCGAAAGA
rnacentral:rRNA from 1 species